CAGAUGAUGGUCAGGCAGUUGUUAACUGUCUUUCUAAAAUAAUUUGUUGCAGCCAGUGCCAGGGAAAGCAGUCUCCCUAUCAAUAGAAGAAACCUCAAACUGGGGAUCAGCAGCUUCCAGAUAAGAUCUCAGGAGCUGGGCCUGGCAGUGACUGAGGCUCCAUCUAGCUCUGGGAGAAGAGGAAGGGAGUGGCUUCCCACUGGGGGUGCCUCAGACCUCGCUUACCUCCACCCAUAGCUGGUCCACCCACCAUGGGUGCUCAAAAGUAGAAGGAAGGAUGGGGAAACAUUCAGUCCACGUCCAAAUCAUCGAGAAGACUUUUCAGAUUGGGAAUAAUUCCGAAGCCAGAUCCCAGCAAGGCACUGCCAAAAAAUGGCUCUCUGGGGUUUAUUUUCCUUUGGAAAGGACUUUUGGGACAUACGGCAAGAGGGAGCUUUCUGGGUCCCUUAAAGGGCCCUGCAGGAAAGAAGGGCAGUGGGACGCAUUGUCUGUUCUCCAUAGACAAUAGGGCAGACUGCUUCCUCCUUGGGACUGGUAGUUACGUUUAUGUUUCUGACAACCAGCUGGCCACUGAAGAAGCGUGGAGCCAACAGCUGCAAGGGAUAAUUUUGGCAGCAUCACCCACGGUGCAAAUUUAAAACUCCAGCUGGUUCUACUGCAAGCAGAAUAAACACAAACAGCUGAUAAUAAGUAAAUUCAGAACUUGAAAUAUGCCAGAGACACUUUAUAGCCCUCUGUUUUCUCCUAGUGUGCACUCUUUGUGCUCUCAUCCUGUGGUCUUGAGCGUGAACAUCAUUUUCAUAUUUUAUCUUGCUAUCUAAAAGUUUUAUUUAUUUGGGAAAUAAGUAGGCUCUGAAUCUGGGGGGAAAAUAGUUGUCAAGAACCAAAUAUUUGGCUUCCUGUUUCCCAGAAAGUGUUUGCUGCUGUUUCCAUUUCUGGCCCAACAUUUUUCCAGAGUUGAAAAUGUCAUUUAAAUGAGUCAGUCCCCGGGGCUCAGAAGCAAUGAUAAAGAUGUGGACAUGGCCCCAGAACGUUGGAGCACUGCUGCCUCUGGUGGACUGAAGGGCAGCUGGCAUUAAAAACAGGAUGUUCCUGCUGUGAUACAGGCAGAGGAAGAAGAAGGGUAUGCAAACCAAGGCAGUCCCCUGCAGCCUUGCCCCUCAGUGUGUGGUCCCAGACCAGCAGCAUCACUGCACCUGGUAGCUUGUUAGAAAUGCACAACCUCUGACCCCACCCCGACCUCCUGCAUCAGAAUCUGCCUGUUGACAAGGUCUUGGGGAAAAGGGUAUUGGGGAAUUUGCUGCACACACACUCCGCUGGGCAACCCAACGGCCUCAAUGAGACC
rnacentral:lncRNA from 1 species